rnacentral:rRNA from 1 species
AUUGAACGCUGGCGGCAUGCCUUACACAUGCAAGUCGAACGGCAGCGCGGGGCAACCUGGCGGCGAGUGGCGAACGGGUGAGUAAUAUAUCGGAACAUACCCUAGAGUGGGGAUAACGUAGCGAAAGUUACGCUAAUACCGCAUACGCACUAAGGUGGAAAGUGGGGGAUUCGCAAGAACCUCAUGCUCAUGGAGUGGCCGAUAUCUGAUUAGCUAGUUGGUGAGGUAAAGGCUCACCAAGGCGACGAUCAGUAGCUGGUUUGAGAGAACGACCAGCCACACUGGAACUGAGACACGGU